CACCCCCUUUUCUCUUUGCCAGUUGGACUUAUGUCUUUAUUGGCCAUUCAAAUGGGGCAAAGGAAAUGUCCUUUUAAAACUCAAGCAAACCAGGUGUUUGUCUUGUAUCCUGUCAAAGGAAACAAAU
rnacentral:snoRNA from 12 species